UCCCAUUCCCCCUUUUCUAGCAGUUCCACUCAAGACAGUAGUUGCCUUUGAACUACCUUCUUCUGCAUUGGGAACAGAUAAAAGCGGCAUCAUGCAAGGGCUGUUCAAACUGAAGGUUGUUGGGGAUGCCGAUACUUGCAUGGGAUCAGGAUCUUGAAAUUGUGACAAAAAGCUACCAUUUCCAUUUGAAUCUUUGGCUGCCAAUUCUUCCCCAUAAUUUUUCCAUAUAUUUCG
rnacentral:lncRNA from 1 species